UACGGGGGGGGCAAGCGUUGUUCGGAAUUACUGGGCAUAAAGGGCGCGUAGGCGGUUCGCUAAGUUGGAUGUGAAAACUCUGGGCUCAACCCAGAGCCUGCAUCCAAAACUGGCGGGCUAGAGUUCUGGAGGGGGUAGCGGAAUUCCUGGUGUAGCAGUGAAAUGCGUAGAUAUCAGGAGGAACACCGGUGGCGAAGGCGGCUACCUGGACAGAAACUGACGCUGAGGCGCGAAAGCUAGGGGAGCAAACAGG
rnacentral:rRNA from 1 species